rnacentral:rRNA from 1 species
AGAGUUUGAUCCUGGCUCAGAAUGAACGUUGGCGGCGUGGAUUAGGCAUGCAAGUCGGACGGGCCCGACCUUCGGGUCGAGCCCGUGGCGCAAGGGUGAGUAAGGCGACGGUAACCAACCUCGGGGCCGGCCAUAGCCGCGGGAAACCGCGGGUAAAAGCCAGCGACGUCGGGACCCGGCAUCGGGUGCCGACCAAAGGUGCGAAUCCGCCCCGAGACGGGCCGUCGUGGUAUUAGCUAGUUGGUGGGGUAUCGGCCCACCAAGGCGAGGAUGCCUAUCGGGCGUGCGAGCGCGGCCCGGCACACUGGGACUGAGACACUGCCCAGACUCCUACGGGAGGCUGCAGUCGAGAAUCUUCGGCAAUGGGCGCAAGCCUGACCGAGCGACGCCGCGUGGAGGACGAAGGCCUUCGGGUUGUAAACUCCUGUCGAGGGGGACCAAGGGGGCGCGAAGAGCGUCCCUCGAGCGAUCCCUGGAGGAAGCACGGGCUAAGUUCGUGCCAGCAGCCGCGGUAAGACGAACCGUGCGAACGUUAUUCGGAAUCACUGGGCUUAAAGGGCGCGUAGGCGGGCGACCGCGUCGAGUGCUGAAAGCCCCCGGCUCAACCGGGGAAUGGGCCUCGAAACGGGUCGCCUCGAGGCGAGGAGGGGGACCGGGAACGUCCGGUGGAGCGGUGAAAUGCGUUGAGAUCGGACGGAACGCCGACGGCGAAAGCAAGGUCCUGGACUCGUCCUGACGCUGAGGCGCGAAAGCCAGGGGAGCGAACAGGAUUAGAUACCCCGGUAGUCCUGGCCGUAAACGAUGGGCACCGGGUAGGAGGCUCGCCGAUGGGCCCCCUGCCGCAGCGAAAGCGUGAAGUGCCCCGCCCUGGGGGAGUAUGGUCGCAAGGCUGAAACUCAAAUGAAUUGACGG